AUACGUAGGGGGCGAGCGUUGUCCGGAAUGAUUGGGCGUAAAGGGCGCGUAGGCGGCCCGGUAAGUCUGGAGUGAAAGUCCUGUUUUUAAGAUGGGAAUUGCUUUGGAUACUGUCGGGCUUGAGCGCAGGAGAGGUAAGUGGAAUUCCCAGUGUAGCGGUGAAAUGCGUAGAGAUUGGGAGGAACACCAGUGGCGAAGGCGACUUACUGGACUGUAACUGACGCUGAGGCGCGAAAGUGUGGGGAGCAAACAGGAUUAGAUACCCUGGUAGUCCACACUGUAAACGAUGAAUGCUAGGUGUAGGGGGUAUCGACCCCUUCUGUGCCGCAGUCAACACAAUAAGCAUUCCGCCUGGGGAGUACGGCCGCAAGGUUGAAACUCAAAUGAAUUGACGGGG
rnacentral:rRNA from 1 species